UUUCCGCAGGUGAACCUGCGGAAGGAUCAUUAAUGAGUUGUCAUGGGGUUCGAUGCUGGCAGCCAGUUUUUGGAUGCAUGUGCUUGCCCUAACAAUCAUCUUCUUCCAAACACCUGUGCACAUUUUUGAGGGAGUCUUGAGUUGGUUGCCGCUCCUGGGUGAUUUUCUCACAUUCCCUUAAAUCAUUAUACGCUAUUAACAAUGUUGAACGUGCUCUGUGCCGCAAGGCCAUUAAUAUAAUACAACUUUUAACAACGGAUCUCUUGGCUCUC
rnacentral:misc_RNA from 1 species